rnacentral:snoRNA from 1 species
AUGAUGAUUGACCAAUCACCAUCUUUCGGCUGA